CCUACGGGCGGCAGCAGUGGGGAAUAUUGGGCAAUGGGCGCAAGCCUGACCCAGCGACGCCGCGUGAGGGAAGACGGUCUUCGGAUUGUAAACCUCUUUCAGCAGGGAAGACAAAAGGACGGUACCUGCAGAAGAAGCCACGGCUAACUACGUGCCAGCAGCCGCUGUAAUUCGGAGGUGGGAAGCGUUAUACGGAAUUACUGGGUGGAAAGGGUGUGUAGGCGGGUUUGGAAGUCAGAGGUGAAAUUGAGGGGCUCAACCUGAGAACUGCAUGUGAAACUAGAGUUCUUGAGUGUGUGAGAGGCAGACGGAAUGCGUGGUGUAGCGGGGAAAUGCGUAGAUAUGAGGAGGAACACCAGUGGCGAAGGCGGUCUGC
rnacentral:rRNA from 1 species